GAGGCAUCCAGCCUGCUUGUGGGUGUCUGGGCAGAUUUUUGAAGGACACUCCAGCUACUGAGACAUGGAGCAAGUCCAUUCUGGCUGUCAGGUGGCAGGUAAUAGCCCAGCCGUUUGCCAUCACUGGAAGUGUUCACACAGAGGAUCAUCAUGUGACCCCAUGAGAAGGUGGAGCCCAGCGGCAGAGAGUUCAAAGCGUUUGCACAACCUGGCAGAGGAAGAAACUGAGGCUUGGAGAGUAACUUGCCCAAGGAUGCACAGCAAGUAGCAGAGAUGGGAUCAACGCAGGCAGUCUGGCUCCAGUGUUCAUAGUCAACCACUUCAUCCAACACCCCUCAAAGCAGAUGCUCCUUUAAGUGUUACAGAGUUUGAGAAGCUUGACCAGGACUGACCCUGCAGACAAGGAAAGUGAGGCUGAGGUUCACUCAGCUAGUAAGUGUUGGAGAACAAGAAUCAAAUCAAGUCUAAUUCCAAGGUUGCACUCUUCCUAUCCACGUCAUGCUGCCUUCUCAGGAUAACAAGCAGUUUACUCCUCUCCUUAAGUGACACCUUUUAAGAACCAAUGUGUUUGCUUAUGACACGUCUCAGUCUUGUUAGUGACCUGGAAGGUCUGGGGCCCACUCAACACUUGUUCUUCUAAUGAACCUCCUAUUCUUGCUGCUGAAUAAAUAUGAUGUACACCUGUGUUAUCGAGGGGAGCCAUAGAUGAGCACCUGCUGGGUACCCCUACAGGUAGAUGUGACAUCCCAAGAGGUCUACACUGCUCAGCAGAUGCCAUACGAUGUGUUUUACCCUGGAAAGAUUUAUUUGUGGUACAAAGAGUCAGAAACUCACAGAGAUAAUCCCACACUGGCACCUGAUGCCUCACAACGAAGGCGACUCACUUAACCUCUCAGCCUCACCAUCUGCGACCUGGAAGUAAAGAUGGCCAGCUCUUUGGAGGCAUCAUUUGGGGCAGCUUCAGAAAUGGCCUGGAAGACCGUGGCAGAUGGAAAUGCUAUAUUGACAGCAAGAACGUUAACUGAAAAUAAUCGGUAUUUAUAGAAUGCCAUCCUUAAGGAUCCUAAAUUUCUUGUGGCCGUCAUUCCCAAGCCUUGGGAAUUGGAAGAAUUGACCUGGAAUGUGGUGAAAAUGUUCACUCCUCCCCCAUCUUCCUUGCCGUUCUGUUUUCAGUUAGAAUCACGAUUUGAGUUCUCGCCGAAAACAGAACGCUGGGUCAAGGGGGAGGUUUGGGAUUAUUAAGGACCAUCCAUCUUCUGAGAGUGAAUGUGCUUCUGCAUCAAAGUCUCCUUUCGAUUUCUUUCUUUGAUAAAAUGUAUUCAGCAACCAGGCUCUGGGGCAGACACUCCUCUCCCUUAGUCUUCCUCCCUCAGUCAAGUUAUUUAAUUAUAUUGUUUUUACUAUCCCUUACUGUCUGGCUUUUGGAUACCCAUGUAAUUAUCUGAUUAGUUCCUAUGUAAAAUCCUUGCUUUUGGUUUUCCUUCCAAUAUGCUAAAGAUACUUCUAGUGGCAAAGAGCUGGCGCUGGUACAUUAAACAGCCCAGAAUAGCGUGGAGCCAGAUGAAAAAGGGUCUCAUCUUACUUUAUAUUAGAGCUCCAGAGCUGGAGAGACUCUUUCCUGCCCAUGUUGAAGGUCUGCUUGGAAGAGAUCCGCACCAUAGCACUAUUCUGCAGCAUGGGUCCCAUUUACCUUUAUUAAUAAACAGCACAGUUACAGGUUCCAAAUAAAGAGGGCAGUGCAAUCCCAUUAUACUAAUUGUUCCCUAUGAUGAGUAGGAAGUGUCUAAUUGAACUUAUUUGAGAUGCCACCUUUAUGUUCUCUCAGAACUUUCUACUUGCUUGGGGUUCAUGCCAUUCUCGGUGUCUCUGUUUGUUUAAAAGAAGACUGAGAGAGAUUUGGAGCUGCCUAACUUGUGUCGGAACGUUUCUAGCCUGCGCAUUUCCUGGUAAUCAGCUAUUUGGUCAGAUACGUAGAGUUAUUUGAUCGGACGUUUAGUCCUCAAAUGAUGGUCACUGCGUGGGAACAAAGCGAAAAUGAUUUAAUUUACACAAAUGCCGUUGUUUAAUCACUCAUUUGCUGUAAACUUGUUUCAAAACGAAUGGAAUAUCUCUCUAGACCAGCACGGUUCCACUGCUGCAUAUAAAUGAAUAAUUAGCCAAGAGAAUCUAUAAAUGGCAUUAUUUUCUACCAUUCUAGUUUGCUUUCUGCUGCUGGACUUCUUUAAGGACUUGAAAAUAUACUUUCUGAUCAUAGCACUUUUCCAAGAAGUAGAGAGAAUUGUUAGAGGGACCCAAAUGGCUGUUUAUUUGUUAUCUGAGGUAGACAGAAUUGAGAUAAUUCAUGAAACACUGUCAUUCUUGCAAGACCCCUAUUUUAUUUUAUUAUUUUAUUUCAUCUUAUUUUGUUUCUGCCUUGGUCUCCAUCCCUAAUACCCCUAGCACUCCCAUGAACACCUUUUUAAAAGAGUUUUUAUAUAGAUUCUUCUAAUUCACCUUCCAUGUGUUUAUUUAGUUUGUGUUUAUUUGAAAGAUUUUAUUGUGUCAUUUUUGUAUGCAUCUUAAAGUUGUAUAAAUGGUAAUGUGCUAUGCAUCUCAUUCUCUUUCUGACUUUUCAUUUGAAGGAGUGUUUUGACAACUACACAUUUUUCUCUGUAUAAAUCCAGUUCAUUGCUUCUGAGUCCUACAGAUUAUUUCAAUACCGAUGCGUAUACCAUUUCUGAUUCUUGCAUAGAGCCCGUUUUACUUAUUCAUUUCCCUAGUGGAUAUCUAACAGGUACUUAGAUUCUCUAGAGGGUACUUGAUUGCUUUCAACUUUUUGGUACCACAAAUAAUGCUACAGCAAUACUCUAUCAUCAUGUUUCCUUAUGGAUUUCUGAGCAAGAGAUUCUCUAGAGUUUAUUCCCAAGAGUGGAGCUUCUGAGUUGUAAGGGUAUAUACACAGUUUACUUCAUUAAGUACUUUCAAAUUGCUAUACAGAAUGUUUGCACUUCACCACCAGUGAGGGUGAAAUUUCCCCACAUCCUUGCCAGCACUUUAUAAUUUUUGCCAAUUUGGUAGGUAGAAAAUAAUAUCUCAUUUUUUAAAUUUUGCAUGUCUCUGAUUACUAAUGAGGAUGUAUAUCUUCCAUAUACUAUAGUAGCUGUUUCCACUUCCCCAUCUGUCAAUUGCCUGUACAUGUCCAUUGCCCAUUUUUUUCUUUUAAAUUUGCUCUCUUUUUCUUAUUUGUUUGUGAAGUUUCUUAUAUAUUCUAGAUACCAAUUCCACGUCUCUUUUGUAAAUAUCUUUUUCACAAUAUUUUGCUGAUUUGUCAGUAAUGGAAGUCUUUAAUUUAGAUGUGGUCAUAUCUACCAAAUUCUUUUCCAUUAACAGAUUUUCAUGAGCAACCUCUGUGUAAAAUCUUUGUUUUUCAUUCUGAUAUGCUAAAUGUGUAUGUAAUAGCAAAGAGCUGGCUUUGGUACCUUAAGCAGCCCAGAAUAGAGUGGUGUCAGAACAGGUCUCAUCUCACUUUAUAUUGGAGGUCCAAAGCUUUAGACACUCUCCCCGCUGUUGCUGCAUUGCUUAGAACAAAGCCACAUCAUAGCUUAUUUAGCAGUGUGGAUUCCACUUAUUUUUGUAAAUAAACAGCACAUUUACAUGUUCCAAGUAAGGAUGAUAGUACAUUCUCUUUGUACUAUUGUUCUCUAUAACGAGUAUGGAGAUGACUAAUUAGAAUAUUUUGCAGUGCCACCCUUGAUGUUCAGUCUGAACUUUCUACUCACAUAUUGUUCCGUUUUGCGUUGUUUGUUUUGGUUUUGCUUUGGUUUAGUUUUUUGGAACUUAGGUGUACACUGGUGAUCAAUCAUACUCCUCAGUUUAUGGAUUAUUUCAUUACUUGUCCAUACAAAACUCCUCUUCAUUUCUUUGUUUUUUUAAGAAUAUGUGUACUUAUGUAUCUAUGUAUAGGCAUACGCACACACAUAACAGCUAUCUACCUAUCACAGUAAAUGGAAUUAUUGAUUCCAAGAAUUAAAAUUUCCUACACUGGUAUUAUAUGUCUACAUCCUCGCCGUAGCCUCCUGGUGGGUGGGGCAUUUUUCUUGAUACUUGACUUGGGCUUGGCCAUAUGACUUGCUUCAGCCAAUAGGAUGCUGGUCCCAUUGCAUUAACCUGGUUAAAUUCACACACUUCAGCUCCUGCUCUUCAUCACAAGAAGAACAUACCUUGGGUAGCCACUAGUCUAGGGAGAAUGAGAAGAAACAUAUGGAACAGAUCUGGACUCAACCUGUAGCUUUUUUUUUUUUUAAUGUGUGAUACGUGGGCCUCUCACUGUUGUGGCCUCUCCCGUUGCGGAGCACAGCCU